GUAGCCAAGUGCGGACGGGAUAAGCGCUGAAAGCAUCUAAGCGCGAAGCCCCCCUCAAGAUGAGAUUUCCCAGUAUGUAAGACCCCUGGAAGACGACCAGGUUGAUAGGCUCGAGGUGGAAGCGCAGCAAUGCGUGCAGCUGACGAGUACUAAUAGGUCGAGGGCUUAUCCUA
rnacentral:ncRNA from 1 species